GUCCUCAACCUUUUUUCGAUAGAAAAACAUCCAUCGUGAGUAAGUACAUUAGCGAAUUGGAUGAUUGCGAGAAGCUAUUUAUUCCAAUGCAUGACGAUUGCCCUGGUCAUUGGUAUCUGUGCGUCAUUGACUUCAAAGACUUGAUAUCCAAAUUUUGGAUUCAUUACGAUCGAAGAGUCGGGACGAGUUCCGGUUUAAGAGUGUGAAAAAAGUGGUUGAAUUUUGUCAGACGUUCUUCAAACUGUAUGACAUAGGGAAAGAUGUCUUCCAAUUCUCCAUUGAUUGGGCUCCUUCCAUUCUGACCCAAGAUAAUGGGUGGGACUGUGGAGUGCAUGUCAUUAGACAUAUGCAGAGAUUCAAAAAUGGUGAUUCGAUG